rnacentral:rRNA from 1 species
UACCCGUGUAGUCCUAGCCGUAAACGAUACUCGCUAGGUGUCGGCCACGGUGCGACCGUUGUCGGUGCCGUAGGGAAGCCGUGAAGCGAGCCACCGUGGGAAGUACCGGCCGCAAGGCUAGAAACUUAAAGGAAUUGGCGGGGAGCACAACAACGGGUGGAGCUUGCGGUUUAAUUGGAUUCAACGCCGGAAAUCUUACCGGGACCGACAGCAACAUGAAGGCCAAGCUGAAGACUUUGCCGGAUUAGCUG